rnacentral:rRNA from 1 species
GUGGGGAAUUUUGGACAAUGGGCGCAAGCCUGAUCCAGCAAUGCCGCGUGCAGGAAGAAGGCCUUCGGGUUGUAAACUGCUUUUGUACGGAACGAAAAGGCUCUGGUUAAUACCUGGGGCUCAUGACGGUACCGUAAGAAUAAGCACCGGCUAACUACGUGCCAGCAGCCGCGGUAAUACGUAGGGUGCAAGCGUUAAUCGGAAUUACUGGGCGUAAAGCGUGCGCCGGCGGUUUUGUAAGACAGACGUGAAAGCCCCGGGAUCAACCUGGGAAUGGCGUUUGUGACUGCAAAGCUGGAGUGCGGCAGAGGGGGAUGGAAUUCCGCGUGUAGCAGUGAAAUGCGUAGAUAUGCGGAGGAACACCGAUGGCGAAGGCAAUCCCCUGGGCCUGCACUGACGCUCAUGCACGAAAGCGUGGGGAGCAAACAGGAUUAGAUACCCCGGUAGUCC